GAUGAAGAACGCAGCGAAAUGCGAUACUUGGUGUGAAUUGCAGAAUCCCGUGAACCAUCGAGUCUUUGAACGCAAGUUGCGCCCGAAGCCAUUAGGCCGAGGGCACGCCUGCCUGGGCGUCACACGUCGUUGCCCCCCCAUCUACUCCUUCGGGAUUGCGGGGGGCGGAUGAUGGCCUCCCGUGCGCCUCGUCGCGCGGUUGGCAUAAAUGCCAAGUCCUCGGCGACGCACGCCACGACAAUCGGUGGUUGCGAAACCUCGGUUGCCCGUCGUGUGCGGUCGUCGCGCAUCGAGGGCUCGAAAAAAUUGCCGGGCUCCGGUUUGGCUUUCAACGCGACCCCAGGUCAGGCGGGGUUACCCGCUGAAUUUAAGCAUAUCAAUAAGCGGAGGA
rnacentral:misc_RNA from 1 species